CUUUAACUUUAUUGUACCUAUUUUUUAAAAUUAGGAUUUUUAACUGUAAUGUAGGUUUAGCAUGUUGUUGCUGCCCUGAGCCCGUCUGGGAUGGGCAGGAUAUAAAAUUAAAACUAAAAAUGAAUUUAAUUUUUUUAACAGCGUACCCAUGAGCC